rnacentral:rRNA from 1 species
GACGAACGCUGGCGGCGUGCUUAACACAUGCAAGUCGAGCGGAAAGGCCCUUUCGGGGGUACUCGAGCGGCGAACGGGUGAGUAACACGUGAGUAAUCUGCCUCUGGCUUCGGGAUAGCCACCGGAAACGGUGAUUAAUACCGGAUAUGACGCAUCACUGCAUGGUGUGUGCGUGGAAAGUUUUUUCGGCCAGGGAUGUGCUCGCGGCCUAUCAGCUUGUUGGUGGGGUAAUGGCCUACCAAGGCUUCGACGGGUAGCCGGCCUGAGAGGGUGACCGGCCACACUGGGACUGAGACACGGCCCAGGCUCCUACGGGAGGCAGCAGUGGGGAAUAUUGGACAAUGGGCGGAAGCCUGAUCCAGCAACGCCGCGUGAGGGAUGACGGCCUUCGGGUUGUAAACCUCUUUCAGCACAGACGAAGCGCAAGUGACGGUAUGUGCAGAAGAAGGACCGGCCAACUACGUGCCAGCCGCCGCGGUAAAAC